rnacentral:rRNA from 1 species
UACAUGUGGGGCAAGCGUUGUUCGGAAUUACUGGGCAUAAAGGGUGCGUAGGCGGCUUGUUAAGUGCAGGGUGAAAGCUCCCGGCUCAACUGGGAGAGGUCCUUGCAUACUGGCGGUCUUGAGGGGGGUAGAGGAAAGUGGAAUUCCCGGUGUAGUGGUGAUAUGCGUAGAUAUCGGGAGGAACACCUGUGGCGAAGGCGGCUUUCUGGGCCCUACCUGACGCUGAGACGCGAAAGCCAGGGGAGCAAACGGG